rnacentral:rRNA from 1 species
GCCCCAUAGUCUGGGAUACCACUUGGAAACAGGUGCUAAUACCGGAUAAGAAAGCAGAUCGCAUGAUCAGCUUUUAAAAAGGCGGCGUAAGCUGUCGCUAUGGGAUGGCCCGCCGGUGCAUUAGCUAGUUGGUAAGGUAAAGGCUUACCAAGGCGAUGAUGCAUAGCCCGAGUUGAGAGACUGAUCGGGCCACAUUGGGGACUGAGACACGGGGCCCAAACCUACCUACGGGGGGAGGGGCAGCAGGUAGGGGGAAGUCUUCCACAAUGGACGCAAGUCUGAUGGAGCAACGCCGCGUGAGUGAAGAAGGUUUUCGGAUCGUAAAGCUCUGUUGUUGGUGAAGAAGGAUAGAGGUAGUAACUGGCCUUUAUUUGACGGUAAUCAACCAGAAAGUCACGGCUAACUACGUGCCAGCAGCCGCGGUAAU